CAUGUGAUUUCAACUUAAUGAGUGAAGGAAGCAUUCAACUUUGAGUUCCGAGAAUUAUUGAGGCUUAAAGAGUUGUAGAGUUAUUGGACAUCAUUUGGUAGCUCGUUGACGCGCUCAGAGUUGCUUCUGGUUCUUUGGAAUCAAGUUAUACAUGAGUCAUUCCAGGUUCCAUUCCACCUGCCCCUCAGUAGAUCUUAGUCAUUUUGGUGAGCCCUUCUUCUUUCCAAGGGCUAAGUAAUUAUGUAAUGGGACCUUUGCUCAAAAUUUAGAUUAUGUCAAUGCUCCAUAUGUCACAGGUAGGAUCCUCGUGUGGGUUAUGUUAUUUUGAAUCUUGAACUGUUUAGGUAGUAAUUAUGAUUUGGUUAUGUAAGACUUAUGGUUUUAA